CCAGACUCCUACGGGAGGCAGCAGUGGGGAAUAUUGCACAAUGGGCGGAAGCCUGAUGCAGCAACGCCGCGUGCGGGAUGACGGCCUUCGGGUUGUAAACCGCUUUCGCCUGUGACGAAGCGUGAGUGACGGUAAUGGGUAAAGAAGCACCGGCUAACUACGUGCCAGCAGCCGCGGUGAUACGUAGGGUGCGAGCGUUGUCCGGAUUUAUUGGGCGUAAAGGGCUCGUAGGUGGUUGAUCGCGUCGGAAGUGUAAUCUUGGGGCUUAACCCUGAGCGUGCUUUCGAUACGGGUUGACUUGAGGAAGGUAGGGGAGAA
rnacentral:rRNA from 1 species